rnacentral:ncRNA from 1 species
CCCGCGGGACGACCCGCGGCGCGUUUCGACCUCCGGCGGGACGGCCCGC